CUUGACUGUAGCUUGGAAUUGGGUUCGGGCUCUUCUUGCGCAGCCUAGGUGGGAGGCGUUGAAAGCUUUCUUUUGGGGAAGCUGGAGCCAUCAGUGAGAGACCACUCUGGAGGAGCUAGAAUUCUAAUGGCGUUCCUUGAAGCAGGACGCUUGACAGUUUCAGGUGGGCAGUUUGACUGGGGCGGUCACCUCCUAAAAGGUAACGGAGGUGUGCAAAGGUUCCCUCAGGCUGGACGGAAAUCAGCCGUAGAGUGUAAAGGCAGAAGGGAGCUUGACCGCAAGACCUACAAGUCGAGCAGGGGCGAAAGCCGGCCUUAGUGAUCCGACGGUUGAGCAUGGAAUCGCCGUCGCUAAAUGGAUAAAAGUUA
rnacentral:rRNA from 1 species